ensembl:lncRNA
GGGGGGGGGGGGGGGGGGGAGGGAGAGAGAGAGAGGGAAGGAGGCUGCAGACUUUCCGGCAGAGAGGAAGAGGAGAGGAGGAAGAAGAGACAGAGGCGGCGGACUCUCCAUCUUCGCCAUCCCAAUCAUGACUCUGGAAGACGUCCUCUGAAACUGCGCUCGGUGCAAAGACUCUUCAGCUACGGGACGGUGCCACACUGAGCUCUGACCAGAUGGAGGUGAAUGCGGCUAGAAAACGCCAUCGCACACGAUCCAAAGGAGUCCGAGCCGCCGUGGAAGCAGCGACUCAGGAGUUGUUCAGCUGUCCCACUCCGGGCUGCGAUGGCGGCGGCCACGUCAGCGGGAAGUACGCCAGGCACCGCAGCGUCUACGGCUGCCCGCUGGCCAAGAAGAGGAAAGCUCUGGAGAAACAACCGCUGGAGCCGGCUGCCAAGAGGAGGCCCUUCCUCACGCCCUGCAACGGGGGGGAGGAGGACGCCGGCGCCUACGCCCGGUACCAGAACCGAGCCCUCGCGGAAGGGAAGGAGCAGGGUGAGGUAGUGGAGGAGGACGAGGAGGAAGAGGAGGCGGAGAGAGAAGGAGAUGAAGACGUGGAGGACGAGUUCUCGGAGGACAACGAGGAGCAGGAGGAAGAGGAGGAGGAUGAAGAGGAGGAGGUAGAGGUGGGGAGAGCGGGUGCGACAAUGGGAGGAGAGCGGGCGGAGGAAGAAGAGGAGGAGGAGGAAGAGGAGGAGGGGAUGUACGAGGAGGAGGAAGAAGUGGAGGAUGGUGAUGAUGAGGAGGAUGAGGGAGAGGAAGACGAGGAGGAGGAUGAGGAGGAGCCACGUCGUCAGCAUGAGAACCACUACAAACCCGCGGGACAAUCAAAGCUGCUUCUCAUUCAGAAGGACGACAACAACAACCACAGCUGCACCAUCGGCGCCGGCAACGCCCCCGGGGAGGAUUACGAGAACUACGACGAGCUGGUCGCCAAGUCGCUGCUCAACCUGGGGAAGAUCGCGGAAGACGCCGCCUACCAGGCCCUGACCGAGUCCGAGAUGAACAGCAACUCCUCCAACAGCGGCGGGGAGGACGAGGACGACGAGGAGUACGACGCCGGCGGCCGCGGCGGCCGCAAGGGCGAGCUGAGCGUGGACUUGGACAGCGACGUGGUCCGGGAGACGGUGGACUCCCUCAAGCUGCUGGCGCAGGGACACGGAGCCAUGCUGCCCGAGGACGGCUACCCGGACGGCGGCAUGCUGGGCGACGCGGGCCACCACGCCAACGGGAGGCCCGGCGUCGGGGUGAGGGUUCAGGCGGACGAGAGCGAGGAGGAGGUGUGCCUCAGCAGCCUGGAGUGUCUGAGGAACCAGUGCUUCGAUCUGGCCCGGAAGCUGAGCGAGACGCAGGCGUGCGACCGCCCGGCCCUCCACGCGCUGCACCACCAGCUCCAGAUGCCGGCGGACCACCAGGUGGUGCAUCACCUGAACAGGUACGACAGCUGCCAGCAGAGCGCCCAGGAGGAGCACCGGUCCCUGGAGCGCAGCUACUCCGACAUGGUGAACCUGAUGAAGCUGGAGGAGCAGCUGAGUCCGGGGUCCAGAGGGUAUCCGACCAGCUGCAGCCAGGAGGGCGACGAGGACACCACGUCGGUGGCCUCCGACCGCUCGGACGAGACCUUCGACAUGGCCAAGGGAAACCUGUCGCUGCUGGAGAAGGCCAUCGCCCUGGAGUCGGAGAGGGCGAAGGUCAUGAGGGACCGCAUCGCCUCGGAGCACUCGCUGCCCCGUCGGGACCACCACCACCACCACCACCACCGAGGCCACGGCGAGCACAGCUCGCGGCUGAGCUGCGCCGGAGAGGAGCGCAAGUCCAGGAUGCACCACGACGGGUUGAAGAGGGCGUUCUACCCGAAAGGUAACGAAGGGAACAUCUCGCUAUGCCACGUUUCCAUGUCUGUGCACAGGUUUGUUGCUGGGGAGUUUUUCCUCCGUCGCGUCGUCACCCAGUUGGUCCCACCUCAGAUGUUUUACAUCAGAGAAAGAAAAGCUUUUUUUCUUCCACGCCAGGACUAUUUUUAUCAGGGCUUCCAGAGGCAGAUUUAGUUCAGCCAGUCAGUCGGUGAGUGUAGCUCCGCAGCAUCACAAGACUUUGUUUCUGUACCGUGUCCAAAGUCAUCGUCCCAUCAUGUUCCCUCUCCAAAUUCUGCCAAUUUGCCAAUGUGACCUGAAUCUGCUUUUUUCCUCCAAAGAUCUGACUUCAAGUCAGCGAGGAGGACGUUUAUCUCGUCUUGUAACCCUCAAAAAACACACGACUGUAACUUUAAUGCCCCCAUCUGCCCCCGAUUGGACCAUUCCUCACCCUUAAAACCUGUUAAUAUCCUGUUGUGUUAAUUCCGAAAUUUUGAACAUGGGCUCCGAUGAGAUAAUGGGCCUGGUUUUCAACAGCAACACAGUUUUCUUUUUUCCCCCGCAGAUGCUCAGUUUUCCUCUGACAGCAGCUUAUGUUGUUAAAAUAGGCCGUUGUGGGAACAUCAGACGGCCGGCUUGUCAGGCAUGAGUAAUGGCAAUCUGCGUGGCCCGUUAGGAGAGCAAAUCCAUCCGUGUGACGCUCUCUUCGGCCUAUUUCUCUAAAUCCACUCAAAUGCGCCUCCCUCCCGCCGGCGUUGCAGUCGCCGCUGUGCGGUUAUCAGCCUCGCAUCGGCUCCAGGCGCUUCGGUACCACAGAGGAAGUUCUUCUUUAGUCCAAAACUUCCAUUACGAUCAACACUCCCAUCGGGGACGUCACGCUCCUCUCCGGUGCCAAUUCGCCGGCCCAAUCGACCCAAAUCUGCACCGUGAAUCUGUUCCGCUGACUUUUGCAGUGGUUCCCAAUCUGGGGGGCGCGCCCUCUAGGGGAGGCGCAGUGGAAUUACAUGGACGCAACUUCAUCACCACAACGAUAAAACAAUACAAAACAAAAUGAUAAUAAAUACCAGUGUUGUGGUGAAGAUA